rnacentral:rRNA from 1 species
UCGGGAAUUUUGGGCAAUGGGCGAAAGCCUGACCCAGCAACGCCGCGUGAGGGAUGAAGUAUUUCGUUAUGUAAACCUCGAAAGAAUGGGAAGAAUAAAUGACGGUACCAUUUAUAAGCUCCGGCUAACUACGUGCCAGCAGCCGCGGUAAUACGUAGGGAGCAAGCGUUGUUCGGAUUUACUGGGCGUAAAGGGCGCGUAGGCGGCGCGGUAAGUCACUUGUGAAAUCUCUGAGCUUAACUCAGAACGGCCAAGUGAUACUGCUGUGCUAGAGUGCGGAAGAGGCAACCGGAAUUCUUGGUGUAGCGGUGAAAUGCGUAGAUAUCAAGAGGAACACCUGAGGCGAAGGCGGGUUGCUGGGCCGACACUGACGCUGAUGCGCGAAAGCCAGGGGAGCAAACG